rnacentral:rRNA from 1 species
CGCGUAGGCGGCUCUUUAAGUCAGAUGUGAAAACCCAGGGCUUAACUUUGGGAGUGCAUUUGAAACUGAAGGGCUCGAGUGCAGGAGAGGUAAGUGGAAUUCCUAGUGUAGCGGUGAAAUGCGUAGAUAUUAGGAGGAACACCAGUGGCGAAGGCGACUUACUGGACUGUAACUGACGCUGAGGCGCGAAAGCGUGGGGAGCAAACAGGAUUAGAUACCCUGGUAGUCCACGCUGUAAACGAUGGAUACUAGGUGUGGGAGGUAUCGACCCCUUCCGUGCCGCAGUUAACGCAAUAAGUAUCCCGCCUGGGGAGUACGGCCGCAAGGUUGAA